rnacentral:tRNA from 1 species
CGGUAUGCUCAGUGGUUUGAGUGCGGUGCUGACAGCAAUGACUGACACCGAGGUCGCGGGUUCAAUUCCCGCUCG